CCUACGGGAGGCAGCAGUAAGGAAUAUUGGUCAAUGGACGAAAGUCUGAACCAGCCAUGCCGCGUGAAGGAUUAAGGCCCUCUGGGUUGUAAACUUCUUUUAUCUGGGACGAAAAAAGGGUAUUCUUACUCACUUGACGGUACCAGAGGAAUAAGCACCGGCUAACUCCGUGCCAGCAGCCGCGGUAAUACGGAGGGUGCAAGCGUUAUCCGGAUUUACUGGGUUUAAAGGGUGCGUAGGUGGGCUUGUAAGUCAGUGGUGAAAUCUCCGGGCUUAACCCGGAAACUGCCAUUGAUACUAUAGGUCUUGAAUUAUCUGGAGGUAAGCGGAAUAUGUCAUGUAGCGGUGAAAUGCUUAGAUAUGACAUAGAACACCAAUUGCGAAGGCAGCUUACUACGGAUAUAUUGACACUGAGGCACGAAAGCGUGGGGAUCAAACAGGAUUAGAUACCCUGGUAGUCCACGCCCUAAACGAUGGAUACUCGACAUCAGCGAUACACUGUUGGUGUCUGAGNGAAGANAUAUAUCCACCNGAGAGANCGCAGAUAGAACGACGAAGAAGUAGAGCGNGAGAGNGACGAGACGACGACGAGGAGGAGG
rnacentral:rRNA from 1 species